UACGGAGGGUGCGAGCGUUGUCCGGAAUCACUGGGCGUAAAGGGCGCGUAGGCGGCCCGGCAAGUCAACGGUGAAAGCUUGGGGCUCAACCCCGAGUCGGCCGUCGAUACUUCCGGGCUGGAGCACUGUAGAGGCAGGUGGAAUUCCGGGUGUAGCGGUGGAAUGCGUAGAGAUCCGGAAGAACACCGGUGGCGAAGGCAGAUCUCUGGGCCGUAACUGACGCUGAGGAGCGAAAGCAUGGGGAGCGAACAGG
rnacentral:rRNA from 1 species